UACGGAGGGCGCGAGCGUUAAUCGGAAUUACUGGGCGUAAGGCGCGCGUAGGCUGUUGUGCAAGUUGGGGGUGAAAUCCCACGGCUCAACCGUGGAACAGCCCUUGAUACUGCGCGACUUGAAUCCGGGAGAGGGUGGCGGAAUUCCAGGUGUAGGAGUGAAAUCCGUAGAUAUCUGGAGGAACAUCAGUGGCGAAGGCGGCCACCUGGACCGGUAUUGACGCUGAGGCGCGAAAGCGUGGGGAGCAAACAGG
rnacentral:rRNA from 1 species